AUUGAACGCUGGCGGCAGGCCUAACACAUGCCAGUCGAGCGGAUGAAGGGAGCUUGCUCCUGGAUUCAGCGGCGGACGGGUGAGUAAUGCCUAGGAAUCUGCCUGGUAGUGGGGGAUAACGUCCGGAAACGGGCGCUAAUACCGCAUACGUCCUGAGGGAGAAAGUGGGGGAUCUUCGGACCUCACGCUAUCAGAUGAGCCUAGUUCGGAUUAGCUAGUUGGUGGGGUAAAGGCCUACCAAGGCGACGAUCCGUAACUGGUCUGAGAGGAUGAUCAGUCACACUGGAACUGAGACACGGUCCAGACUCCUACGGGAGGCAGCAGUGGGGAAUAUUGGACAAUGGGCGAAAGCCUGAUCCAGCCAUGCCGCGUGUGUGAAGAAGGUCUUCGGAUUGUAAAGCACUUUAAGUUGGGAGGAAGGGCAGUAAGUUAAUACCUUGCUGUUUUGACGUUACCAACAGAAUAAGCACCGGCUAACUUCGUG
rnacentral:rRNA from 1 species